ensembl:lncRNA novel transcript
AACUGACCGUCGCCCGCCUGGCACUAGCAGCGGCGCAGACCCGGGCGGCGUCGGGCGCCUGGGUGCGCUCGGAGCGCCGCUCCCCUCGCCCACACCUCGCCGGAGGAGCGGAGCCCACGCGCAGCCUCGGGCUGCUCCCCGAGGCCGCUUGCUGGGGCUCCCGAGAGGCCCCAAGGUUCCUGACAGAGCUGCUGUUGGGUGUUGGUGUAAAGCCGGGAAUGUAGUGUGGCGGUGAUGCCCUAGAUCCCUGGGGCCGCGCCCUGCCGCCCGUCCCCCAACAUCACCCUACUGUGGAGCGACGUGGCUGCUAAGAGGCGCCCUCCCUAGCAGGUGAUCAAACUCAAUCAACAGCUCCAAAAAGUUUACAUUACCCAGGAGCAAAAACGGACCUGCUGUGUUUCUACUACCUCUGCAACUCAUUCCCCAGUGGGAGGAAAGAUAAGAAACUAAAUUGCAAACAUGUUGCAGCUGCUGAAUGACUCAGCCUGGCAAGCUUCCUGUCUGGAAUAAUGUGCUGCUCUGGGAACUUCUCAUCAAACAUUCACCCCAAUAGCAUAAGUAUAUACUUUCAACAGUUAUUUAUCAGAUAUUCAUUACUGAAAGUAUGGAUCGUAUGGAAUAUAGCAGGAGUCUAAGAUAUGUUCUCUGCCCUCAUGACACUGACCAUCAAAUUAAGAAAAGAAGGCACGAGUAAAUAAAAAUAAUAGAAAGAAUGCUAUAGAUAGUAUAAAACCAAAUGCCAAAUAAAUGAUGUCAAAAAUUAAUUCCACAAUCUAAGAAGGGAAAAUAUCAGCAUAAGCUGGAACAUUCAUGAGAGAUGAUGGAGUUUAUAUUAAGACUGUUAGACAAGCGGAGGACAAGAUGAUGGAAUUUAUAUUAGGACUAUUAGAAAAUAGGGAGAUUCUGAAGGGAAGAGGAAAUAAUUUUCAAUGUUAUUCUUUAACUCUGCAUGGUAAAAUGUUGAAUUGAGAAAGAAAUGUACAGAGAUCAUAAAACAGAAGGAUGAUGCAAAAGAAGAGUCAGAUAUAAGUGGAGCACACAAGAUUCGACUGACUGUGGAAAGCCUUGGACACCAGGCUAAGAAAUCUGACCUUGAUCCUGAAGACAAGAAAAUAAUUGGAGGUUUUGAGCAGGGAAGUACAACAGUGAAAGUAAUCUUCUUGUAAGCAAAACCUUUUGUCUGUAUGCAGAAUUAGAAGGGAAGGAAUGGCAGCAGGGUGCUUGUGAAUAGGCCAUUGCAGCACUGUUGUCAUGAGAAAAAAGUUAUAUUUACAAUUUACAUCAUUAAGCAAGGUUGUCACUAAGUAGAAUUAAAUUGAUCUAAAUGAGUUGACAAUUCAGUAAAAGAAGGAAAACCAGUGCAAGUUAUUUGAUAACGUGUAGAUCAAUACACAAGAUAUUGAUUGGCUUUAUCGUUUUGGAAAUAAUCAUUGUUGUGGUUGAGGUUCAUGCUCAAUCACAAACUAAGAGUUUCCAGUUGGUACAAGAGAAAACUGGAGAUCAAUGACAGAUGGUCCUGCAUUCCAUUGUUUUUUUGUGUCAUAUAUGUUUAAGGAGUAAAACAUAAUGUUUUGAUCUCUUUAUACAUAGUGAAAUGGCUAUUAUAUUCAAGCAAUUAAAAUAUUCAUUAUCUCUUGUAGUUAUCCUUCUUAUUUUUGUGGCAAACACACCUGCAAUCCACUCUUUUAGUAAAAAUACUCAGUUAAAUACUAUAUUAUUAACUAUAGUCCCCAUGUUCUCUGUUACAUCUCUAGAUUUAUUCUUCCUAUAUAUCUGUAGCUUUGUAUUUCUUGACCUGCGUCUCCCCAUUCCCUCUUACCUCAUCUCUGGUAACUACCACUUCAUUUCCUAUUUCUGUGUAUUCAGUUUUUUUUUUUAAAGAUUCUACAUAUAAGUGCAAUUAUGUAAUAUUUUUUUUUAAUCUGGCUUAUUUCACUUAGCAUAAUGACCUCCAAGUUCAUCCAUGUUAUGGUAAGUGGCAGGAUCUUCUUCUUUAUUAAGGCUGAAUAAUACUCCAUUAUACAUAUAUGUAAUAUCACAGUUUCUUUAUUCAUUUAUCAAUUGAUACUUAGGUUGUCUCUAUAUCUUGGCUACUGUGAAUAAUGUUACAAUCAACAUAGGAGUGCAGAUAUCUUUAUAACAUGAUGAUUUCAUGUUCAUUGGGUAUAUACACAGAACAGAAGAUAGCUUUAUGAUGUGGUGAUUUCAUUUCCUUUGGUAUAUACACAAAAGAAGAAUUACUGAGUCAUGUGGUAGUUAUCUCUUUAAUGUUAUUAAGAACUUCCAUGCUGUUUUCCAUAAUGGUUGCACCAAUUUACAUUCUCACCAACAGUAUACAAAGAUUCCCUUUUCUUCAUACUCUCAUGAACAAUUGUUAUUGCUUGAUGUGAGGCAAUUAUUUCAUAGGGGUUUUAAUUUUCACUUCCCUGGUGAUUAGAGAGGUAGAGCAUCUUUUCAUAUACCUGUUGGCCAUUUUUAUGUCUUCUGAUAAAUGUUUAUUCAGGUUAUUGGCCUAUUUUUUAAAAUUAGGUUACUUAUUUUUCUCCUAAUGAGUUGUGUAAGUUCUUCAUGUAUUUUGGAUAUUAACAUUUUACCAGAUAUGUGGUUUUCAAAUAUUAUUUCCCAAUCUGUAUGCUGCCUUUUCAUUUUGUUUAUUGUAUCCUUUACUAUGCAGAAGCUUUUUAGUUUGAUAUAGUCCCAUUUGGUAGCCUGAACUUUUUAUGAUAUGCCAAAAGUAAUUGUUCAGACCAGUGUCAUGCAGUUUUUUGUAUAUAUUUUCUUCUAAGAGUUAUGGUUUCAAGUGCUACAUUUAGGUUUUUAUCCAUUUUAAUUGACUUUUGCUCUUAAUUUGUUGUUGUAGGAUCUGCCUCAAGUUGUCAAACUAAACAUUGCUUUAUUGUCUUAUACACAACAGAAAUAACUCUCUUCAAUCAAAACACCUGAAAAUCUUGUCAGCAAAGUUUACCUCUGAUUUACUUCUACCACUUAACAUCUGUGUGAUAUUAAGCAAAAUAAUUAACUUUUCUGUGUGCAACACUUUCUUCAUCUGUAAAAUGGUACCCCGCAUAUGGGUCUGUUGUAUAGAGAAAUUUUAUAUACAUAUGUGUAUGUGUGUAGUGACUGCAAUCUAAUA